AGUGAACGCUGGCGGUGGGCCUAACACAUGCAAGUCGAACGGCAGCACAGUAAGAGCUUGCUCUUACGGGUGGCGAGUGGCGGACGGGUGAGGAAUACAUCGGAAUCUACUUUUUCGUGGGGGAUAACGUAGGGAGACUUACGCUAAUACCGCAUACGACCUACGGGUGAAAGCAGGGGAUCUUCGGACCUUGCGCGAUUGAAUGAGCCGAUGUCGGAUUAGCUAGUUGGCGGGGUAAAGGCCCACCAAGGCGACGAUCCGUAGCUGGUCUGAGAGGAUGAUCAGCCACACUGGAACUGAGACACGGUCCAGACUCCUACGGGAGGCAGCAGUGGGGAAUAUUGGACAAUGGGCGCAAGCCUGAUCCAGCCAUACCGCGUGGGUGAAGAAGGCCUUCGGGUUGUAAAGCCCUUUUGUUGGGAAAGAAAAGCAGCAGGUUAAUACCCCGCUGUUCUGACGGUACCCAAAGAAUAAGCACCGGCUAACUUCGUG
rnacentral:rRNA from 1 species